UCGGGAAUUUUGGGCAAUGGGGGAAACCCUGACCCAGCAACGCCGCGUGAAGGAUGAAGUAUUUCGGUAUGUAAACUUCGAAAGAAUAGGAAGAAUAAAUGACGGUACUAUUUAUAAGGUCCGGCUAACUACGUGCCAGCAGCCGCGGUAAUACGUAGGGACCAAGCGUUGUUCGGAUUUACUGGGCGUAAAGGGCGCGUAGGCGGCAUGACAAGUCACUUGUGAAAUCUCUGGGCUUAACCCAGAACGGCCAAGCGAUACUGUCGCGCUAGAGUGCAGAAGGGGCAAUCGGAAUUCUUGGUGUAGCGGUGAAAUGCGUAGAUAUCAAGAGGAACACCUGAGGUGAAGACGGGUUGCUGGGCUGACACUGACGCUGAGGCGCGAAAGCCAGGGGAGCAAACGGGAUUAGAUACCCCGGUAGUCCCUGAGCGGGCUGGCAAGGCGCAU
rnacentral:rRNA from 1 species